AGGACGAACGCUGGCGGCGCGCUUAACACAUGCAAGUCGAACGGUGAACGGGGCGUUCGGCCCUGGAAUCAGUGGCGAACGGGUGCGUAACACGUGGGCAACCUGCCCCAGACACUGGGAUAACUCCGGGAAACCGGGGCUAAUACCGGAUACUCCGCUUGGAUCGCAUGGUCCGAUCGGGAAAGCUUUUGCGGUCUGGGAUGGGCCCGCGGCCUAUCAGCUUGUUGGUGAGGUAACGGCUCGCCAAGGCGACGACGGGUAGCUGGUCUGAGAGGACGACCAGCCACACUGGGACUGAGACACGGCCCAGACUCCUACGGGAGGCAGCAGUGGGGAAUUUUUGGACAAUGGGGGCAACCCUGAUCCAGCCAUGCCGCGUGCGGGAAGAAGGCCUUCGGUUGUAAACCGCUUUUAUUUCGGAAAGAAGGAGUCAAGGUUAAUACCCUUGAUGACAGACGGUACCGAUGAAUAAGCACCGGCUAACUACGUGCCAGCAGCCGC
rnacentral:rRNA from 1 species